rnacentral:rRNA from 1 species
UACGUAGGCAGCAAGCGUUGUUCGGAAUUACUGGGCGUAAAGAGUGUGUAGGCGGUGUUCUAAGUUUGUCGUGAAAUCUCCCGGCUUAACUGGGAGGGUGCGGCGAAAACUGGAAUGCUAGAGGAUGGGAGAGGUAAGCGGAAUUCCUGGUGUAGCGGUGAAAUGCGUAGAUAUCAGGAGGAACACCAAUUGCGAAGGCAGCUCGCUGGGACGUAACUGACGCUGAGACGCGAAAGCGUGGGGAGCAAACAGG